rnacentral:rRNA from 1 species
GGAUUAGAUACCCUGGUAGUCCACGCCCUAAACGAUGUGCACUAGGUCCCGGAGGUUUUGACGCCAUCGGGGCCGAAGCAAAAGUAUUAAGUGCACCGCCUGGGGAGUACGGUCGCAAGGCUAAAACUCAAAGGAAUUGACGGGGGCUCACACAAGCGGUGGAGCAUGUGGCUUAAUUCGAAGCAACGCGAAGAACCUUAUCCAGGGCUUGACACGGUCGGAUUAGCUCCCCGAAAAGGGAGUGACGCGUUUUACGUGGAACGAUCACAGGUGCUGCAUGGCUGUCGUCAGCUCGUGCUG